GUGCUUGCUUUGGCAGUACAUAUCCUAUAAUUGGAAUAAUAUAGAGAAGAUAGGCAUGGUCCCUGCACAAGGAUGACACGCAGAUCUGUGAAGUGUUCCAUAUUUUU